rnacentral:rRNA from 1 species
GACGAACGCUGGCGGCGUGCUUAACACAUGCAGGUCGAACGGAAAGGCCUCUUUCGGGGGGUACUCGAGUGGCGAACGGGUGAGUAACACGUGAGUAACCUGCCCUUGACUUUGGGAUAACUUCAGGAAACUGGGGCUAAUACCGGAUAGGAGCUCCUGCUGCAUGGUGGGGGUUGGAAAGUUUCGGCGGUUGGGGAUGGACUCGCGGCUUAUCAGCUUGUUGGUGGGGUAGUGGCUUACCAAGGCUUUGACGGGUAGCCGGCCUGAGAGGGUGACCGGCCACAUUGGGACUGAGAUACGGCCCAGACUCCUACGGGAGGCAGCAGUGGGGAAUAUUGCACAAUGGGUGGAAGCCUGAUGCAGCAACGCCGUGUGCGGGAUGACGGCCUUCGGGUUGUAAACCGCUUUCGCUCAUGACGAAGCUUUGUGUGACGGUAGUGGGUAAAGAAGCACCGGCUAACUACGU